AGGGUUCGAUUCUGGCUCAGGAUGAACGCUAGCGACAGGCUUAACACAUGCAAGUCGAGGGGCAGCAUAGAAGUAGCAAUACGUUGGUGGCGACCGGCGCACGGGUGAGUAACGCGUAUGCAACCUACCUAUCAGGAGGGGAAUAACCCGGCGAAAGUCGGACUAAUACCGCAUAAAACAGGGGCACCGCAUGGUGAUAUUUGUUAAAGAAAUUCGCUGAUAGAUGGGCAUGCGUUCCAUUAGGUAGUUGGUGAGGUAACGGCUCACCAAGCCGACGAUGGAUAGGGAACUGAGAGGUUGGUCCCCCACACUGGUACUGAGACACGGACCAGACUCCUACGGGAGGCAGCAGUGAGGAAUAUUGGUCAAUGGGCGGGAGCCUGAACCAGCCAAGUCGCGUGAAGGAAGAAGGAUCUAUGGUUCGUAAACUUCUUUUGCAGGGGAAUAAAGUGCAGGACGUGUCCUGUUUUGUAUGUACCCUGAGAAUAAGGAUCGGCUAACUCCGUGCCAGCCGCCGC
rnacentral:rRNA from 1 species